rnacentral:hammerhead_ribozyme from 1 species
GCGUUGCUGAGGAGUCCCACAACAGGACGAAACGGCCGUCCAGUGC